GGCCCAUUAGCUCAGUUGGUUAGAGCGUCGUGCUAAUAACGCGAAGGUCGCGGGUUCAAUCCCAUCAUGGGCCA